rnacentral:rRNA from 1 species
GACGAACGCUGGCGGCGUGCUUAACACAUGCAAGUCGAGCGGUGAAGCGCCUUCCUUUUUGGUGGGUGUGGAUGAGUGGCGAACGGGUGAGUAACACGUGAGUAACCUGCCCCCUUCUUCUGGAUAACCGCAUGAAAGUGUGGCUAAUACGGGAUAUUCUGGGUCUGUCGCAUGAUGGGUCUGGGAAAGAUAUUGUUUCGGUGGGGGAUGGGCUCGCGGCCUAUCAGCUUGUUGGUGGGGUGAUGGCCUACCAAGGCGGUGACGGGUAGCCGGCCUGAGAGGGUGGACGGUCACACUGGGACUGAGACACGGCCCAGACUCCUACGGGAGGCAGCAGUGGGGAAUAUUGCACAGGGGGCGCAAGCCUGAUGCAGCGACGCCGCGUGAGGGAUGGAGGCCUUCGGGUUGUGAACCUCUUUCGCCAGUGAAGCAGGCCUGCCUCGUUUGUGGGUGGGUUGACGGUAGCUGGAGAAGAAGCGCCGGCUAACUACGUG